rnacentral:rRNA from 1 species
GACGAACGCUGGCGGCGUGCUUAACACAUGCAAGUCGAACGGAAAGGCCCUGCUUUUGUGGGGUGCUCGAGUGGCGAACGGGUGAGUAACACGUGAGUAACCUGCCCUUGACUUUGGGAUAACUUCAGGAAACUGGGGCUAAUACCGGAUAGGAGCUCCUGCUGCAUGGUGGGGGUUGGAAAGUUUCGGCGGUUGGGGAUGGACUCGCGGCUUAUCAGCUUGUUGGUGGGGUAGUGGCUUACCAAGGCUUUGACGGGUAGCCGGCCUGAGAGGGUGACCGGCCACAUUGGGACUGGGAUACGGCCCAGACUCCUACGGGAGGCAGCAGUGGGGAAUAUUGCACAAUGGGCGGAAGCCUGAUGCAGCAACGCCGCGUGCGGGAUGACAGCCUUCGGGUUGUAAACCGCUUUCGCCUGUGACGAAGCGUGAGUGACGGUAAUGGGUAAAGAAGCACCGGCUAACUACGUG